CAGAACCUUUAAAUUUGGGCAUAAUGCUCCAGUACAGUACACAGCUAUAGCUUCAAAUGGAUUUAGAACCUGCUCCAGGAAAAAAACAAACUCCCUCGCCUGACACACAAAUUGUUUACGAUUCAUUAAAAAGCAAAAUUGCAUAUCCCAGUGCUGGCAGCUGAGUCCAUAUGGGUGCAAGGGGUAUUCACUCAUCUCUUUGUAUGCUGGCAGUACCAAACCGAAGUUUAGCACUGUGCAGCUGAGAUUUUGUGCAGCCAGACGAUGCAUGAGGGAUGCACAGGAAAUCAGCUCAGCUCCCCAGUACACCGAACAAACUGAUUUCUCCAGCCCCAACUCUGAUAUAUUCAUAACGAAUCCAGAAAGAGUCAGAGACUGAUUCACAGCACAGCUCCAACUCCGUUACAACAGACAAACCCCAGCCUGCAGCUGAAGUUAUUCUUUUGCCAAAGGAACAGACAACUGCUAUUCAAGUAAAGGUAGCACAUGAACUUGAGAAAACUGUUACAUAAAAUCACAUUUUUCUACCUCUGGGGAGAGAGCAGCAACUGGCAGCUGCUCCAAGAUGGCAUUUUCUGAUCCCACCUCUGAUCAGUGCAGUGGACAAAGCAAAGCCACUGCCUCCUGCUUCCUCCUGUCCCCCUCCAAAUUCCCUGGACAGCCAAAAUGCUGUGGAUGUGUGAACAGUUCAGGAGCAGCAGCCUGGCCAGCAGGUGAAAGAAAUUACUCCCACUACAUACAGAAAAUAGUCAUGAGAAGACACGUGGUUUGGGAGAGGGAACUGCGAUGAAAUGCCCUCUGAGCAACUGGGCAUGGAUCUUUUCCUUUCCCUGAGUGUCCACCAAACUGUCUGAUACUUUGCUUUUUGAGAAGAUAUGCAACUCAGAAUGCAUGUCAUUCAUUGUGUCCAGUAAUAAACAAAAUAUUUAGUGCAUUUUUAAUGCUGUAAAACCAUUUAAAAGACUUUUAAACCUUCCACUGUGGGACAGAAUUAGAAUUGUUUUGCUAUCUGCAACAGGCCUAGCCUCCAAUCAUGUAAUUAAGCAAUCACAAUUUGCAAAAUUGGUUUGUUUGGUUCCCACACCACACAAAUACUGAUAAAAGCUUUUUUGUUUGUCAGUGCACUGUAACUUACAGGUUAUGAACAACACCAUUUGGCAAAUUUGGAGCUUGAAGACCAUGUCCACAUCUCCCAGUGUUUUCCCCACACUGGAUUCUUUACUCAGUGUGCACUUCAUGGUUCCAGUGGCUGCAUGUACUGAAGUAAUGUAGCAGCUACAACUUGAAAUAAAAGAUUUAAGGCUUGUUAAGCAUA